rnacentral:rRNA from 1 species
GGAGGGCACAAGCGUUGUUCGGAAUUAUUGGGCGUAAAGCGCGUGUAGGCGGCUGGGUAAGUCGGAUGUGAAAGCCCGGGGCUCAACCCCGGAAUUGCAUUCGAAACUGCCUAGCUAGAGUCUCGGAGAGGAGGGCGGAAUUCCCGGUGUAGAGGUGAGAUUCGUAGAUAUCGGGAGGAACACCAGUGGCGAAGGCGGCCCUCUGGACGAUGACUGACGCUGAGACGCGAAAGCGUGGGGAGCAAACAGGGAUUAGAUACCCUGGUAGUCCACGCCGUAAACGUUGGGUGCUAGGUGUCGCGGGUAUUGACCCCCUGCGGCGCCCGGCGUUAACGCAUUUAGCACCCCGCCUGGGGAGUACGGUCGCAAGACUA